UACAGAGGGGGCAAGCGUUAUUCGGAAUUAUUGGGCGUAAAGGGCGCGUAGGCGGCUUGGCAAGUGGAUGGUGAAAUCCCUCGGCUUAACCGAGGAACUGCCAUCCAGACUGCUUUGCUUGAGGCCGGGAGAGGUGAGUGGAAUUCCCAGUGUAGCGGUGAAAUGCGUAGAUAUUGGGAGGAACACCAGUGGCGAAGGCGGCUCACUGGACCGGCAUUGACGCUGAGGCGCGAAAGCCAGGGGAGCAAACGGG
rnacentral:rRNA from 1 species